rnacentral:tRNA from 1 species
GCGCCGAUAGUGUAGUGGUUAACACGCCGCUUUCCCAUGGGAAAGUCUUGACUUCCCGUCUUGGCUUUCGGACAUAAAGCGGCAGCCCGGGUUCGAACCCCGGUCGGCGCA